rnacentral:rRNA from 1 species
GCAUAUCAAUAAGCGGAGGAAAAGAAACUAACAAGGAUUCCCCUAGUAGCGGCGAAGCGAGCGGGAAGAGCUCAAAUUUGUAAUCUGGCGUCCUCCGGGCGUCCGAGUUGUAAUCUAUAGAGACGUUUUCCGUGCCGGACCGUGUCCAAGUCCCUUGGAACAGGGUAUCAAAGAGGGUGACAAUCCCGUACUUGACACGACGACCGGUGCUCUGUGAUACGUUUUCUACGAGUCGAGUUGUUUGGGAAUGCAGCUCAAAAUGGGUGGUAAAUUCCAUCUAAAAGCUAAAUAUAGGCGAGAGACCGAUAGCGAACAAGUACCGUGAGGGAAAGAUGAAAAGCACUUUGGAAAGAGAGUUAAACAGUAUGUGAAAUUGUUGAAAGGGAAACGAUUGAAGUCAGUCAUGUCCAUUGGAUUCAGCUGGUUCUGCCAGUGUAUUUCCUUUGGACGGGUCAACAUCAGUUUGAGCCGGCGGAUAAUGGCAGAGGGAAUGUGGCACCCCCGGGUGUGUUAUAGCCCUUUGUCGCAUACGUCGGCCCAGACUGAGGAAUGCAGCUCGCCUUUAUGGCCGGGGUUCGCCCACGUACGAGCUUAGGAUGUUGGCAUAAUGGCUUUAAACGACCCGUCUUGAAACACGGACC